rnacentral:ribozyme from 1 species
CAAAAAAUAUGAUGCAGUGAUGAACAAUGAGGUCGAGGCUGGCUCCCAAUAUCGCGAGGAAGAAAUCGCAAAGAAAACAGUGUCCAAUGAUAUAUUAAAAUGGACUUUAAUGUCAGG